rnacentral:tRNA from 1 species
GCCCGUGUUGCUCAGUGGGUAGAGCCUCGGCCUGCAGACUGAAGGGUUCCGGGUUCGAUUCCGAUCAAGGGCA